AUCACUGGUACCAGAGGAAGCAAGCUGCCAUGUAGUGAGCAGACCUAUGGAGAGAUCCAUGUGGUGUUGCAAGGAACCAAGUCCCAUAAGUGGUUUACCCCCGGAGGAUCUGCAGCCUGCCAACAACCACAUUUUCCUCCAGUAUGGGAUCAUGUUGAGUCUUGAUGAAAUUUAAUUCCAAUGCACAGUGAAUACCAGCAGAAGCUCUUUGAGAAUGACUCUGAUGAUGAUGACAUCAUUAAGAAAGCCCCAUAGAAGAGCAAGAACAACUCACCUGCUGCCAUAGUUAGACAAGAUGCACAGACAGCAGAGAGGAAGGCCGCGCGGACACGGCCCUUCUCCCCACUUCUCUCAGGCGCCAGAAGCUGAGUAGGGUAGUGAAUCCUGGGAGGAGGCAGGCCAAGCACAACCGAGCCAAUGGUGGAUGCAGAUUCUCUGGACGCUCACAUUUAACUAUCCAGAAAAAUAUUACAAACGAGUCUUGUCUAUUCCCUUAGUCUUAUUUAUCAGGCAGGAAAUAUGCUGUGUCUUCAAGUGUAGUGUUAUGAAAAUCAGGGAUUGUUCAUCCAUUCUGUGUCAG
rnacentral:lncRNA from 1 species